GACGGGGCCCGCACAAGCGGCGGAGCAUGUGGAUUAAUCGAUGCAACGCGAAGAACCUUACCUGGGUUUGACAUAUACCGGAAAGCUGCAGAGAUGUGGCCCCCCUUGUGGUCGGUAUACAGGUGGUGCAUGGCUGUCGUCAGCUCGUGUCGUGAGAUGUGGGUUAGGUCCCGCAACGAGCGCAACCCUAUCUUAUGUUGCCAGCACGUUAUGGUGGGGACUCGUAAGAGACUGCCGGGGUCAACUCGGAGGAAGGUGGGGACGACGUCAAGUCAUCAUGCCCCUUAUGUCCAGGGCUUCACACAUGCUACAAUGGCCAGUACAGAGGGCUGCGAGACCGUGAGGUGGAGCGAAUCCCUUAAAGCUGGUCUCAGUUCGGAUCGGGGUCUGCAACUCGACCCCGUGAAGUCGGAGUCGCUAGUAAUCGCAGAUCAGCAACGCUGCGGUGAAUACGUUCCCGGGCCUU
rnacentral:rRNA from 1 species